UGGGGAAUUUUGGACAAUGGGGGCAACCCUGAUCCAGCCAUCCCGCGUGUGCGAUGAAGGCCUUCGGGUUGUAAAGCACUUUUGGCAGGGAAGAAACAGCCUGGGAUAAUACCCCGGGCGACUGACGGUACCUGCAGAAUAAGCACCGGCUAACUACGUGCCAGCAGCCGCGGUAAUACGUAGGGUGCAAGCGUUAAUCGGAAUUACUGGGCGUAAAGCGUGCGCAGGCGGUUCGGAAAGAAAGGUGUGAAAUCCAGGGCUUAACCUUGGAACUGCACUUUUAACUACCGAGCUAGAGUACGUCAGAGGGGGGUAGAAUUCCACGUGUAGCAGUGAAAUGCGUAGAGAUGUGGAGGAAUACCGAUGGCGAAGGCAGCCCCCUGGGAUGAUACUGACGCUCAUGCACGAAAGCGUGGGGAGCAAACAGGAUUAGAUACCCUGGUAGUCCACGCCCUAAACGAUGUCAACUAGCUGUUGGGGUUUAUUAACCUUAGUAGCGCAGCUAACGCGUGAAGUUGACCGCCUGGGGAGUACGGUCGCAAGAUUAAAACUUAAAGUGAAUUGACGGGGGUCAUAGCUGUUUUCCUG
rnacentral:rRNA from 1 species